rnacentral:rRNA from 2 species
AUGAACGCUGGCGGCGUGCUUAACACAUGCAAGUCGAACGAUGAUCCCAGCUUGCUGGGGGAUUAGUGGCGAACGGGUGAGUAACACGUGAGUAACCUGCCCUUGACUCUGGGAUAAGCCUGGGAAACUGGGUCUAAUACCGGAUAUGACCGUCUGACGCAUGUCAGGUGGUGGAAAGCUUUUGUGGUUUUGGAUGGACUCGCGGCCUAUCAGCUUGUUGGUGGGGUAAUGGCCUACCAAGGCGACGACGGGUAGCCG